CCUACGGGUGGCUGCAGCUAAGAAUCUUGCGCAAUGGGCGAAAGCCUGACGCAGCAAUUCCGCGUGGAGGACGAAGGCCCUCGGGUCGUAAACUCCUUUUGCGAGGGAAGAAGUUCUGCCGGUACCUCGCGAAUAAGCCACGGCUACCUACGUGCCAGCAGCCGCGGUCAUACGUAGGUGGCGAGCGUUGUCCGGAUUUAUUUGUCGUAAAGAGCCCGCAGGCGGCUUGGCAAGUUUCAGGUGAAAUCUCCUGGCUGAACUGGGGGAGGGCCUGGAAAACUGCCAGGCUUGAGGCAGGGAGAGGGAUGUGGAAUUCCCGGUGUAGUAGUGAAAUGCGUAGAUAUCGGGAGGAACACCAGUGGCGAAGGCGGCAUCCUGGCCCUGUCCUGACGCUCAGGGGCGAAAGCGUGGGGAGCAAACCGGAUUAGAUACCCCUGUAGUC
rnacentral:rRNA from 1 species